rnacentral:lncRNA from 1 species
AAAAAAACUGUGUUGUUGUUUUUUGUGUUCUUAAUUAGUUUUGUUUUCUUUUAAAAAAUAAAAAAUAAAAAAAAACUGUGUUGUUGUUUUUUGUGUUCUUAAUUAGUUUUGUUUUCUUUUAAAAAAAAUUUAAAUUAAAAAAAUUUCGGAAAAUUUAAAAAUCCAAAAAAUAUUGUCUUGUUUCCCUUAUUGUUUUGAAUUAGAUUUUUGUUAGUUUCCCGACCCAAUGAUAUAAUUGGAUCAAAUUUGAACCAUGAUCAUCAAGAACUUAGUUAACAUGUAUUUUGUGAAAUUCCUAAUUCUCUUGUUAGUUUUGUACAUGUUUGACCAUCUUUGAAAAACCAAAUGCACAUAGCCUUGUUAAUGUGAAACUAAAGUAUGACUUAAAGCUUCAUAUGUGAAUUUAGUGACCAUAUAUAUCCUAUGUGAGUUUUUG